GCCCACCUAGGCGAUGAUACGUAGCCGAACUGAGAGGUUGAUCGGCCACAUUGGGACUGAGAUACGGCCCAGACUCCUACGGGAGGCAGCAGUAGGGAAUUUUUCACAAUGGACGAAAGUCUGAUGAAGCAAUGCCGCGUGAGUGAUGACGGCCUUCGGGUUGUAAAGCUCUGUUGUAAGGGAAGAAAAAAUAAAGUAGGAAAUGACUUUAUCUUGACAGUACCUUACCAGAAAGCCACGG
rnacentral:rRNA from 3 species